rnacentral:lncRNA from 1 species
UUUUUUUUUUUUUUGAGACAGAGUCUCACUCUGUCGCCCAGGCUGGAGUGCAGUGGCGCGAACUCCGCUCACUGCAAGCUCCUCCUCCCAGGUUCACGCCGUUCUCCUGCCUCAGCCUCCCGAGUAGCUGGGACUACAGGUGCCCACCACCAUGCCUGGCUAACUUUUUGUAUUUUUAGUAGAGACAGGGUUUCACCGUGUUAGCCAGGAUGGUCUCGAUCUCCUGAUCUCGUGAUCCACCCGCCUCGGCCUCCCAAAGUGCUGGGAUUACAAGCGUGAGCCACCAUGCCUGGCCAACAGCAGGUUUUUAGACUUGUAGGAAUUAAUUUCCACCUCUCCAUACAUGUCCAUGCCCUGUAUCUACGGGCUUGUUUCGGUAGGCCAGUUGUUCGUCAAUCAGUUCUUUUGCUUCCAUAAAUUAAUCACACAGGCUAUCGAUGUCUAAAAUGUCUGUCAUUCUAAAACACUUCAAAGCACAUUGGAUGUCAUCAUAAGGUAAGCCUCUUUUCUCUGGAAAAAUGGUUUCAAAGCAGGGAGGUACUUUGAACUUGUGAAAUUGAAGCUGGAUUCCAAAUAAGUUGCAGUUUUAGUAAAGAAAUUGAGAAAAUCCUGUUUAACUUGGCUGUCCUUUCCUAGUGAUAAUUUUUUAAGUUCCAAAGCAGUCUUAUUUCCAAGGAAUGAGUCAUUUGUUCACUAGAUGAGUUUUUGUCACAACCUACACCUAAAUGGAACGAGUUAGAUGCACUUAGUUCAUCCUUUUCUGUAGCUUUUUUAAAGAUUAUGAAACAGUCUUGGAGAAACGGCAUAUACAUUUCCAUUUUACAGUAAUCCUUUUCUCCGUUCUCAUACUAAAUGUAUUUCCAAAGUAGUGAAGGACAUUCUUCUCAUCCUACACUUUGAAAAUAUGAUUUUAUAGUAGGCCAACAUGCCAACAUCUUUUCUACAAGACGUCUUGUAGGCAUAUGUCUAAGAAGGCUAUCUCCUUCCACUUCCAUAAAAAUCAAAAAUCUCAUGAAGUACCUCUGCAUGCUUUGAGGAAACUGAAAAGUAAACAAAAAUGUCAUUACGAAAGUGUCAAUGUCACAGGUAGGCAAAUCACACCUCUUUUUAGCAGUGUUAUGUAAAAGGUACAGAGGGGUCAGGACGUUUAGCAGGAAAUUUCUUAAAUUUCCUUUGGUAAGUUUAUAGACUGAAUGGAAUUUUCCAAAAUUUACAUUUGCACCAUUUGCAAAUAUGCAGAUAGAUGAGUAAGUCUAGUUUGCAUUUGAACACAAUAUCAACAAUCUUUUGUUUUAUGUAUUCUGUGAUUUCAUCACAAUCUUCAUUGAAGUCAGGAAAACAACUUGAAACUCCCUUUUCCAAAUAAAAAAUACCUAAGAGACAGGGAGAACAUGUUUUUGUUGCCGUGAUUCCACACAUUGCUUGAUAGAGUUUAGAAUGCAUGCUUGUUGGAGUAGUUCUCAGAAUCAGUUCUAUACCAUAAAGGGUCAACCCAUCUGUUAUCAAAAUUUCCCCUUUUGUUCCCACUUGGGCCAUUUCAGUUGCAACUUCUGAAUCAGGAAAUGUAACUUCACUCAGUUUCAUACAGCUUCAAGGAAAAAAUAUGAUAAUGAGAGUUUGUUUGUGUGAUAAGCCCAGGUGAAUUCAGUGGCUGCUAUUUUCAACUGGGCAUUAAUGUCUUUUUGGAAGAUGAGAAAACUUGAAAGAUUGAUUGAUUGAUUUAGAAGUACCUGUCCCCUCCCAGACUGGUGAGAUUCAGAUCCAUAUGAGUGAACAGCUCUCCCCUACCUCAGGCAGGGCUGCUGCACACAACCCAGGAGGUACUCCCUGCACUGCAAGGACAACAGAAGAGCAUCUCUGGGGAC